rnacentral:misc_RNA from 1 species
AAUGUUAUAGCAACCCUCUGGCUGAAAAUGCCAGGGGGCACAACUAUACCACCCUUUGUUUAUUACACUUUUGUUGCUUUGGUAGGCCAGUCCUCGGACUGCUGGCUUCGGCCGGACAGCGCCUACCAGAGGACCUAAACUCUGUUUGUCUAUAAUGUCUGAGUACUAUAUAAUAGUUA